AACGAACGCUGGCGGCAGGCUUAACACAUGCAAGUCGAACGGACGUAGCAAUACGUUAGUGGCAGACGGGUGAGUAACGCGUGGGAAUAUGCCCUUUAGUUCGGAAUAACCAAGGGAAACUUUGGCUAAUACCGGAUAAUCCCGAGAGGGGAAAGAUUUAUCGCUGAAGGAGUAGCCCGCGUCUGAUUAGCUAGUUGGUGAGGUAAUGGCUCACCAAAGCGACGAUCAGUAGCUGGUCUGAGAGGAUGAUCAGCCACACUGGGACUGAGACACGGCCCAGACUCCUACGGGAGGCAGCAGUGGGGAAUAUUGGACAAUGGGGGCAACCCUGAUCCAGCCAUGCCGCGUGAGUGAUGAAGGCCUUAGGGUUGUAAAACUCUUUUAUCCGGGAAGAUAAUGACUGUACCGGAAGAAUAAGCCCCGGCUAACUUCGUGCCAGCAGCCGCCGUAAAAC
rnacentral:rRNA from 1 species